GAAGGUACAGCUCAGAGGUAAAGCACAUGCUUAGUGUGCACAAGGUCCUGGGCUCAAUCCCCAGUACCUCCA
rnacentral:tRNA from 1 species